GGACUACUGGGGUUUCUAAUCCCGUUCGCUCCCCUGGCUUUCGUUCCUCAGCGUCAGGUAAGACCCAGAAAGCCGCCUUCGCCACCGGUGUUCCUGAUGAUAUCAACGCAUUUCACCGCUCCACCAUCAGUUCCGCUUUCCUCUAUCUCCCUCGAGUCUGGUAGUUUUGAGCGCAGUUCCUCGGUUGAGCCGAGGGAUUUCACACCCAACUUUCCAGACCGCCUACGAACUCUGUAAGCCCAGUGAUUCCGAAUAACGUUUGGACGGUUCGUCUUACCGCGGCUGCUGGCAC
rnacentral:rRNA from 3 species